GACGAACGCUGGCGGCGUGCUUAACACAUGCAAGUCGAACGGAAAGGCCCUGCUUUUGUGGGGUGCUCGAGUGGCGAACGGGUGAAUAACACGUGAGUAACCUGCCCUUGACUUUGGGAUAACUUCAGGAAACUGGGGCUAAUACCGGAUAGGAGCUCCUGCUGCAUGGUGGGGGUUGGAAAGUUUCGGCGGUUGGGGAUGGACUCGCGGCUUAUCAGCUUGUUGGUGGGGUAGUGGCUUACCAAGGCUUUGACGGGUAGCCGGCCUGAGAGGGUGACCGGCCACAUUGGGACUGAGAUACGGCCCAGACUCCUACGGGAGGCAGAAGUGGGGAAUAUUGCACAAUGGGCGGAAGCCUGAUGCAGCAACGCCGCGUGCGGGAUGACGGCCUUCGGGUUGUAAACCGCUUUCGCCUGUGACGAAGCGUGAGUGACGGUAAUGGGUAAAGAAGCACCGGCUAACUACGUG
rnacentral:rRNA from 1 species